GGAAGUAAAAGCCGUAACAAGGUUUCCGUAGGUGAACCUGCGGAAGGAUCAUUAACGAGUAAAGUCCUUCGGGACUUUCUUAUCCAACACCUGUGUAAAUUAAUUUUUGCUUUGGGAAUUUAAUUAUUCCCAACAAUCAAAACCACUAAGUUGUCUUUUGUCUGAAUGAUUAUUUAAAAAUCAAAACUUUCAACAACGGAUCUCUUGGUUCUC
rnacentral:misc_RNA from 1 species